rnacentral:rRNA from 1 species
UGCGGAAGAGAUAAGUGCUGAAAGCAUCUAAGCACGAAACUUGCCAAGAGAUGAGUCAUCCCUGACUUUAAGUCAGUAAGGGUUGUUGUAGACUACGACGUAGAUAGGUCUGGUGUGUAAGUGUAGUGAUACAUUGAGCUAACAGAUACUAAUUGCCCGAGAGGCUUAGCUAUACAACGCUCAAG